CCCCUAGAGGUGUUGCAUGUGCGUCAUGUACGUUAGUAGUCAACAGAGAGGGUAGAGGUUAUGUCUGGGCUUAGUGUUCUGACCUGUGAAUCUCUGAAUGAUUACUAGCCUAAUAUU
ensembl:snoRNA Gm24216 predicted gene, 24216